rnacentral:rRNA from 1 species
AAUAGCGGCGCAGCCGCGAAAUUUUUGAGAGUAUAAUUGCUUUUUU